UACGUAGGGUGCGAGCGUUGUCCGGAAUUAUUGGGCGUAAAGGGCUCGUAGGCGGUUUGUCGCGUCGGGAGUGAAAACCCAGGGCUUAACCCUGGGCUGGCUUUCGAUACGGGCAGACUAGAGGUAUGCAGGGGAGAACGGAAUUCCUGGUGUAGCGGUGAAAUGCGCAGAUAUCAGGAGGAACACCGAUGGCGAAGGCAGAUCUCUGGGCCGUAACUGACGCUGAGGAGCGAAAGCGUGGGGAGCGAACAGG
rnacentral:rRNA from 1 species